CGCGUGCACGUGCGUGGGUCAGUGACCGAGAGGUGAGUGAGCGCUGAAGGGUUUUUUUCUCUUGAUUUUCACAUGCUCCUGUUCUUAUUUCGGCGACCUUCUCAAGACGGGAAAUUAGAGAGAGACACCAGCGACAGUCAUUCAGGCGGUCAACCCUUUUCCAUUUUUAAUCGAUACAGCAGUAAAACACAUCCUCCCCUGCCUUUCCUCAUCUUGUUUUUGGAACCUGUUGACGUCUGACAUGUGUUUUAUUGCUUUGCCGUUCACAGAUGAGAAUCUAACGCUCGGUUUCAAAACCUAGCGUACUGUCUACGAUAAUGGAAGAACUGCAUGAGCCGGUGAACAAGGGAGGAUUUGGAGGACAUCCAGUCUGUGCCUGCUGAACUGAUUCGACUGGAGCUCUGCAAAACAUCCCGGCCUGAGCUGUCCACCUUAUUCACGUUGUGAUUCAGCUGAAUGGCAUUCGGGAGCAGAUGGCAGUAAUUAAGCAUUUGUCAGUUUGAUCCAUGAUAUACUCAUGCAUGAGUGCUUUACAUUGGCAGAAAAAUACUCAUCCUCAGGCCAGCCGAGAUGUAGAAUACAGAUUGUGUCAAGAAGCAGCUUUACAGUGUUAUACAGGAAAAUAGUUUGACAAUAAUGGAAGAAGACAUUAACAAACAGUCAAAUUUUCAGCUAAAGUCAAUUCAUUGAUAAAUCAGUGAUGUCAUCAUCCAGUUCAGUUCUCUUCCAAUAGAAGAAUGAAACCGACUAAUGUUAGCGUAGAUGCCAUUCUUUUUAUGAUGAGGUAUCUAGUACAUUGGAUGUUAUGGGAAGUUGUCCUAAUUAAUGCAGCCUAACAAUCCUUUAAUGGAUUUGAAUUAUAGAAAUGUGUUAGUGUGUUUUAUGAAUGCCAGGUUAAAGAGGUUAAAAAAUUGGGUCUUUAAUCUUUUUUUUUUUUUUUUUGCUAAAUGAGAUAAAUCCUUGCAUAAUUUAAAACCCCUAAAUCUUAUCAAGUAUUGUCCUCUACUACGAGAACUUUAGGAAAAUGAAAAUUUUAAUUUGACGAGUUAAAUAGCAAUGAAACUGUGAGUUUACUAUAAUCUAAAUUGCUUUGGAAAGUUACCCUCACUUGAAUAUAUCUUACACAUGAAAACACAUGUUUGAAAAAUAUCAAUAUCAAAAAUGGUAAGAACUUGUUGUUGAAGUUUAUGAAAUAAAGAAGCAGAUGGAGUAUAUCUGUUUGAUUGGGUUACAAUCCUAACAAAACAAAACAAUUUUGAAGAGUAGAAGGAAAAGUACUCGCCCAAACAAUAUUACAAAAUGAAAGAUAUGGAUAAAUUAAACUAUAAUAAAGCGUAAGAAUACACUCUGUAGUGAUGCUUAACGCUCCUUAUUAUACCAGUAGAUUUAUGUAUUUUCUGCUCAUGAAUUCAGCUUGUUCUUUGAUAGUAGACACUUGAGGCACCUCAAUAUACUUCGUAAUAAUUUUGUAUAAAUCCUUAGGGUAUUUUUUUCCACUAAAGAUGAUAAAAUGUUUUUUUUAUAUAUAAAGAUAAUUUGUUUCAAUUAAACCAAUUUGCAUAAGUAAUUAAAUCCAUCAUUUGUAUUAUUAAUCAAUUAAUUAAAACUUAGGUGAGAGAGAACUAAGGUUGUGUCAUCAGCAAACAUUACUAGAGUAAGAAUAUCUGAAACAUUCGACAGGUCAUUUAUAUAAAUAAGAAAUAGCAGUGGUCCAAGUAUCGACCCCUGAGGAACCCCAAAGAGUAGAUUGGAUUUGCUGGAAUAGCAACCCUUAAAACAAAUAGUUUUUUUUUAUUUAGUAAUAUAUUAUGAAAUAUAAUUGUAUUUUCAGCAUCAUUUCUCCAGUCUUCAGUGUCACAUGAUUUUCAGAAAUCAUUGAAAAACAUGUGGACCUCAGUAAAGCGGGGAAAUCCAAUCUGGAAAUUGUCCAGUCCUUUGUGUUCAUACUCAAUAAAUCAAACAGAACUGAUUUCCAACCUCAUGUGACCUUCUUAAACCAAUAGUUCACUCAGUGGUGAUAAUGUCUUCAUUUACUCACCCUCGUGUUAUUUCAGUAUGACUUUCCUUCUUCCUUGGAGCUCAAAAGGAGACUUUUUGAAAUAUCUUCAUGUCUGUUUUUGAAGCAUAAAGGACAUAAACCUCAUUAGUCAUUAUAAUAUGAUAUGGAAAUGCAUCAGACAGUGAACAAGUGUGUGUAAGUGAAUUCGUCUGCAGUCUGUGACUUCACUGCUGACGUGCUUCUGGUGACAAAACCACACGAGAGCUGGUUUCGUUACAAAUCAUAUGAACAUUUAAUAGUUUUAAUUGUCUGUUCAAGAGAGUCUGUGUGCAGCUCAUAACCAUCCAACGCCUUAAGUCUCACAAUUUCUCCAGAAUUAUUUGCUGAAAGUUAAUCUAUAAAUAACUGUUCUCUGGUAAUCAACAGUAUGUCACAGACAGUGCUAUUUUAAUAUCAUCCACAUUGCUGGGAUUAGUUAACACAUAAUUAAAAUUCAACAUUAGAAUAAGUAAUAAUGUGUAAACUUGAAAUGAUAAAAAAAAAUAGUUUAGUUAACUU